rnacentral:rRNA from 1 species
GAUGAACGCUAGCGACAGGCCUAACACAUGCAAGUCGAGGGGCAGCACAAGGAGCAAUCUGAGGUGGCGACCGGCGCACGGGUGAGUAACACGUAUGCAACCUACCUGUAAGAGGGGAAUAACCCGUUGAAAAACGGACUAAUACCGCAUAACACUGUAGAACCGCAUGGUUUGACAGUUAAACAUUUAUGGCUUACAGAUGGGCAUGCGCAUGAUUAGCUAGUUGGUGAGGUAACGGCUCACCAAGGCAACGAUCAUUAGGGGUUCUGAGAGGAAGGUCCCCCACACUGGUACUGAGACACGGACCAGACUCCUACGGGAGGCAGCAGUGAGGAAUAUUGGUCAAUGGGCGAGAGCCUGAACCAGCCAAGUCGCGUGAAGGAUGAAGGUUUUAUGAAUUGUAAACUUCUUUUGCAGGGGAAUAAAGUGUCCGACGUGUCGGAUUUUGUAUGUACUCUGCGAAUAAGGAUCGGCUAACUCCGUG